AUGAGUCGCUUCCCACUCCCACAACUGGUGGGGAGCACGCUCCCCUCCCCAUGUCCCCGCGCUGCUGUUUGCUCCAGCGCUGGUGGCUUUUGGGUCAUUUGGGGACACGGGGAGGGGGCACGGCGCGGGGAUGCUCCGCAGCACCCUCAGCACACCCUGGGUGGGGGCAUGACCCCACUGCUUCCCCACGGCACUGCCUGCAGCCGCGUGCGUGCGGGUGGAAGGGGUGAGAGGGGUUUGCUCUCCCUUCCACGGUGCUGGGCUGGAGCAGGGUGGGUAGCACAGGACCCAAGGACAGAAAUACUGGCGUGGAGCCCCUGCUCCUGCCCGAGGAAGAGCAUCCGAAGUGGGUGCCAGCAGAGCAGCCUGCAGAGCUCCAUUCCCAACCACUGCGGGAUGGAGGAUGCUGGCGGAGCACCGCGCAGAAGGCACAGGAGGGCGAAGCGUGCACGGAGAGCCCUAGGACAGGCCUGCCCACCCCCCCAGUUCAGCGCUGGGGGGGGGGCUGCUCCUGCUUCUCACCACUUGUCUGACCCACGGACUCAGGGCACAGGUCUGGAAAUGCUUUUGGAGCUGCUGGAAAUGAAGCCGCACCCUGAGAGCAGCAGGCAGCGGGGCUCAGCAGGCAUGGACAUGGCAGAGAGAAGGGGCUGGGCUGCGACCUGCAGAGCCCUGGGGGAGAGGAGAGGGGGUUGCAUAGGAUUUAACAGGGCAAAGACCUCGUGCAAGCUUGUGGUACAGCAAUCAGGUCUUGCUAGUGCUGGUGUCAAGCAGGAAUGGGGGGAAUCCAGCGGCCGUGGCUUGCUCUGGGUUGGCCACGCUGUGUGUGGGGCUCUCUGCUCGUCCCAGGCUGGGGGCUGGCACAGCACGCAGCAGGGCCGCAGGUUCCACUGAGACAUCACUCCAUAAAGGCAAAACUCGGGGAUGGAGGGGAUGGGAACGGGCGCUCAGAAGCCUCCCGGUUCUCCAGGGCCUCCUCUCUGCCUGCUGAGGGGGGCGAGGGCUCUGCUGGCUUCAGCGUGCCCCAGACACAAAGCGCCUUGGAGACAGGCUUCUGCACUCAACCUGAAAUUGCAGACUCCUGGGGAAAUCCCAGCCUGCUUCUGCCCUUCCUGUUCAAGCACAACCUCGAAGAAACCGUCUCACCGCCGCCGCCGCGCCGGCUGCUGGCCCGAGUCACGGCUGGGAAGGUUCCACAUCACAAUUCUGCAUUUCUCAGCCACAGAGGGCAAAAACCCCCAAUGCCAAGCAGACAGAGCCCGAACCCCGAGCGAUGGGACGGCAGAGCACGAUCCUGCACCGCCCCAGCUCCUGCAGAGCGGCUGCAUCCCCUGCUCCCAGCCCCGAGGUGCGCAGGAUGUGACCCAGCUCCUGCCCCACAGUGCAGCACUGCAGGACACCAGAGAGACACGAGCAGGGGCACAGCAAUGCCACGUCCCCACUGCGCUGCCCUGUGCAGAACGGAGGCACCAAAACCUCCCCAAGCUCCGGCACAGCGCGGUUUGUGCUCAAGGGCCUUUGUCCGUGCCCUGCCAAGAAGCUCGCCAGUUUUGCUCACGAGAAAU
ensembl:lncRNA